rfam:Schistosoma margrebowiei strain Zambia genome assembly, scaffold: SMRZ_scaffold0000155
GCACUGCUGAGGAGUCCCACACUAGGACGAACCGGCCGUCCAGUGC